rnacentral:rRNA from 1 species
CAGCCGCCGCGGUAAUACGUAGGGAGCAAGCGUUGUUCGGAAUCAUUGGGCGUAAAGAGCGCGUAGGUGGUCUGAUAAGUCUGGUGUGAAAGCCCACAGCUCAACUGUGGAACUGCAUCAGAAACUGCCAGACUUGAGUGCGGGAGAGGAGAGUGGAAUUCCCAGUGUAAAGGUGAAAUUCGUAGAUAUUGGGAGGAACACCGGUGGCGAAGGCGGCUCUCUGGACCGCAACUGACACUGAGGCGCGAAAGCUAGGGGAGCGAACGGGAUUAGAUACCCCGGUAGUCCUAGCCGUAAACGAUGGGCACUAGGUGUGGGGGGUAUUGACCCCUUCCGUGCCGCAGCUAACGCAUUAAGUGCCCCGCCUGGGGAGUACGGUCGCAAGACUAAAACUCAAAGGAAUUGACGGGGGCCCGCACAAGCGGUGGAGCAUGUGGUUUAAUUCGACGCAACGCGAAGAACCUUACCUGGGUUUGACAUCCCUUGACAACAGCAGAGAUGCUGCUUUCCUUCGGGACAAGGAGACAGGUGCUGCAUGGCUGUCGUCAGCUCGUGUCGUGAGAUGUUGGGUUAAGUCCCGCAACGAGCGCAACCCAUGCCCUUAGUUGCCAGCGAGUAAUGUCGGGAACUCUAAGGGAACUGCCGGUGACAAACCGGAGGAAGGUGUGGAUGACGUCAAGUCCUCAUGGCCCUUAUGCCCAGGGCUACACACGUGCUACAAUGGCCGAUACAGAGGGUCGCAAUACCGUGAGGUGGAGCCAAUCCCAAAAAGUCGGUCUCAGUUCAGAUUGCAGGCUGCAACCCGCCUGCAUGAAGGUGGAAUCGCUAGUAAUCCCGGAUCAGCAUGCCGGGGUGAAUACGUUCCCGGGCCUUGUACACACCGCCCGUCACACCACGAAAGCCAGUUGUACCAGAAGUCGCUGGGCCAACCCGCAAGGGAGGCAGGUGCCGAAGGUAUGGCCGGUGAUUGGGGUGAAGUCGUAACAAGGUAACCGUA